rnacentral:rRNA from 1 species
AACGAACGCUGGCGGCAGGCCUAACACAUGCAAGUCGAACGUGAAGCCACCUUCGGGUGGUGGAAAGUGGCAGACGGGUGAGUAACGCGUGGGAACGUGCCUUUCGGUUCGGGAUAACCCAGGGAAACUUGGGCUAAUACCGGAUACGCCCUCCGGGGGAAAGAUUCAUUGCCGAAAGAUCGGCCCGCGUCGGAUUAGCUAGUUGGUGGGGUAAAAGCCUACCAAGGCGACGAUCCGUAGCUGGUCUGAGAGGAUGACCAGCCACACUGGGACUGAGACACGGCCCAAACUCCUACGGGAGGCAGCAGUGGGGAAUAUUGGACAAUGGGCGCAAGCCUGAUCCAGCCAUGCCGCGUGGGUGAAGAAGGCCCUAGGGUUGUAAACCCCUUUCAGCGGGGAAGAUAAUGACGGUACCCGCAGAAGAAGCCCCGGCUAACUCCGUGCCAGCAGCCGCAGUAAUAC